AGAGUUUGAUCCUGGCUCAGGAUGAACGCUGGCGGCGUGCUUAACACAUGCAAGUCACGGGGGCCCAGCAAUGGGCAACCGGCGAACGGGUGCGUAACACGUGAGCAACCUACCUAAGUGAGGGGGAUAGCCGGCCCAACGGCCGGGUAAUACCGCAUACGCUCGAGUUGAGGCAUUUUGAUUCGAGGAAACCUACGGGGCACUAUGAGGGGCUCGCGGCCUAUCAGCUAGUUGGUGAGGUAACGGCUCACCAAGGCGACGACGGGUAGCUGGUCUGAGAGGAUGGCCAGCCACAUUGGGACUGAGAUACGGCCCAGACUCCUACGGGAGGCAGCAGUGGGGAAUCUUGCGCAAUGGCCUAACGGCUGACGCAGCGACGCCGCGUGAGGGAUGACGCUCUUCGGAGUGUAAACCUCUUUUGUCUGAGACGAAUUGUCAGCAUCAGCUGAUUUGACGGUAUCGGGCGAAUAAGCACCGGCUAACUCCGUGCCAGCAGCCGCGGUAAUACGGGGGGUGCGAGCGUUGUCCGGAAUCACUGGGCGUAAAGGGCGCGUAGGUGGCCUUAUAAGGGUGUGGUGAAAGUCCGGGGCUCAACCCCGGAUCGGCCGUGCCGACUGUUAGGCUAGAGUACUGUAGGGGCAGGCGGAAUUCCGGGUGUAGCGGUGGAAUGCGUAGAGAUCCGGAGGAAGACCGGUGGCGAAGGCGGCCUGCUGGGCAGUUACUGACACUGAGGCGCGACAGCGUGGGGAGCAAACAGGAUUAGAUACCCUGGUAGUCCACGCCGUAAACGAUGGGUACUAGGUGCUUGGGGGAGCGACCCCUUGGGUGCCGGCGCUAACGCAGGAAGUGCCCCGCCUGGGGAGUACGGCCGCAAGGCUGAAACUCAAAGGAAUUGACGGGGGCCCGCACAAGCGGUGGAGCAUGUGGUUUAAUUCGACGCAACGCGAAGAACCUUACCUAGGCUUGACACGCAUGGGAAACUCCUCAGAAACGAGGAGCCUCCUUCGGGACCCAUGCACAGGUGCUGCAUGGCUGUCGUCAGCUCGUGUCGUGAGAUGUUGGGUUAAGUCCCGCAACGAGCGCAACCC
rnacentral:rRNA from 1 species